rnacentral:lncRNA from 1 species
AAUUAAUCAAUUAAUCAAUCAAUCAAUUGAUCAAUCAAUAAAAUUGAGAAUGGAAAUACAAAACGUGUAAAAGAAACAACACAGCAUAACCAAAGAGCACAGCCGAAGGCCACCAAUGGGUCUUCAACACAACGAGAAAAUCCCUCAACCAGAGGCGUGCUUCAGCUGGUCUCUAAAAAAAAUAUAUACUAGUUAGGUGAAAAUGGACGUCACACUUAACUUAGAUAAAAAAAACCAAGAAAAAAACAUAAAAAACUAACAAAGACCGGAGUAUCCUGACUUGGGACAGGCGCAAAAAUGCGGCGGGGUUAAACAUGCUUUGUGAGAUCUGACCCUCCCAACUAUACAACUAUAGCUAGCUAAUGUAGAAUGAACAAACAAACAACAAUAUGCGCAGCAAAACUACGUUUAAAAGAAAUCCGAGUUCGAUGUCAGAAUAGUAAACAAAAGAAACUACGCAAAAUAAAUAUAAUUCAUAAAUUGACAAAGAACUGCUAGCAGUAACUGACAUGCCAGUUCCAGACCCCAAUUAAACAUAUCGAAAUAAUAUAUAGAUAUAAGAAGAUGUGGAAUAAGUGCUAAUGAGACAACUCUCCAUAAAGUCACAGUUUGUAAAAGUAAACUAUUAUAGGUCAAAGUACCCUCUUCAACACGAAUCCUUGGCUCACACCGAAUAGCAAGUCAAAAAGAUACCCCAAAAUGACUAGUGUAAAACCAUUCGAACGGGAAAACCAACGGUCUUUAUAACUAUGUAAAAAACGAGAAGCGAGAACCACAUCAACAAACAACAACUACUGUUUUUUUU